rnacentral:tRNA from 1 species
GCGGGGGUAACAAAGCUUGGCUAAAUGUGCGGGACAUGAUAGCCCGACUCAAGAUCCCGUCCCUCAGGGGUUCGUGGGUUCGAAUCCCACCCCCCGCA